AUUUACAGCCAUGCCACCCUGAACAAGCCCGAUGUCUGAUCUCGGAAGCUAAGCAGGGUCGGGCCUGGUUAGUACUUGGGUGGGAGACCACCUAGGAAGACCAGGUGCUGUAGGCA
rnacentral:rRNA from 1 species